UACGUAGGGUGCGAGCGUUAUCCGGAAUUAUUGGGCGUAAAGAGCUCGUAGGCGGUUUGUCGCGUCUGCUGUGAAAACCGGAGGCUCAACCUCCGGCCUGCAGUGGGUACGGGCAAACUAGAGUGCGGUAGGGGAGAUUGGAAUUCCUGGUGUAGCGGUGGAAUGCGCAGAUAUCAGGAGGAACACCGAUGGCGAAGGCAGAUCUCUGGGCCGUAACUGACGCUGAGGAGCGAAAGCGUGGGGAGCGAACAGG
rnacentral:rRNA from 1 species